rnacentral:rRNA from 1 species
GCNGGCGGCGUGCUUGACACAUGCAAGUCGAACGGUAUGUGGCAACACAUAGAGUGGCGAACGGGUGAGUAACACGUGGGAACGUACCCUCUGCAGGGGGAUAACUGACCGAAAGGACAGCUAAUACCGCAUAAGACCGAGAGGAGAAAGGUGCAACAGCAUCGGCAGAGGAGCGGCCCGCGGACCAUCAGCUAGUUGGUGGGGUAAGAGCCUACCAAGGCAACGACGGAUAGCCGGCGUGAGAGCGUGGCCGGCCACAAGGACACUGAGAUACGGGUCCUACUCCUACGGGAGGCAGCAGUGCGGAAUUUUAGAUAAUGGAGGCAACUCUGAUCUAGCGACGCCGCGUGCAGGAAGAAGGUCUUCGGAUUGUAAACUGCUGUGGUAAGGGAAAAAUGCCAUGUAGAGUGGAAAGCUACAUGGAGGGAUGGUACUUUACUAGAAAGCCCCGGCUAACUACGUGCCAGCAGCCGCGGUAAUACGUAGGGGGCGAGCGUUACCCGGAAUCACUGGGCGUAAAGGGAGCGUAGGUGGCCUGACAUGUCGACUGUGAAAACCCGGAGCUCAACUCCGGACUUGCAGUUGAAACUGCCAGGCUUGAGGACGGUAGAGGAAGACGGAACUGCCAGUGUAGGGGUAAAAUCCUUAGAUAUUGGCAGGAACGCCGGUGACGAAGGUGGUUUUCUGGGCCGGUUCUGACACUGAUGCUCGAAAGCCAGGGGAGCGAACGGGAUUAGAUACCCCGGUAGUCCUGGCCCUAAACGAUGUUCACUAGGUGUGGGGAGCGGAAAGCUUUCCGUGCUAAAGCUAACGCGAUAAGUGAACCGCCUGGGGAGUAC